GAGGCGNGNCUAUCAUGCAGUAGAACGCUGAAGAGAGGAGCUUGCUCUUCUUGGAUGAGUUGCGAACGGGUGAGUAACGCGUAGGUAACCUGCCUUGUAGCGGGGGAUAACUAUUGGAAACGAUAGCUAAUACCGCAUAACAAUGGAUGACCCAUGUCAUUUAUUUGAAAGGGGCAAAUGCUCCACUACAAGAUGGACCUGCGUUGUAUUAGCUAGUAGGUGAGGUAACGGCUCACCUAGGCGACGAUACAUAGCCGACCUGAGAGGGUGAUCGGCCACACUGGGACUGAGACACGGCCCAGACUCCUACGGGAGGCAGCAGUAGGGAAUCUUCGGCAAUGGGGGCAACCCUGACCGAGCAACGCCGCGUGAGUGAAGAAGGUUUUCGGAUCGUAAAGCUCUGUUGUAAGUCAAGAACGAGUGUGAGAGUGGAAAGUUCACACUGUGACGGUAGCUUACCAGAAAGGGACGGCUAACUACGUGCCAGCAGCCGCGGUAAUACGUAGGUCCCGAGCGUUGUCCGGAUUUAUUGGGCGUAAAGCGAGCGCAGGCGGUUUGAUAAGUCUGAAGUAAAAGGCUGUGGCUCAACCAUAGUUCGCUUUGGAAACUGUCAAACUUGAGUGCAGAAGGGGAGAGUGGAAUUCCAUGUGUAGCGGUGAAAUGCGUAGAUAUAUGGAGGAACACCGGUGGCGAAAGCGGCUCUCUGGUCUGUAACUGACGCUGAGGCUCGAAAGCGUGGGGAGCGAACAGGAUUAGAUACCCUGGUAGUCCACGCCGUAAACGAUGAGUGCUAGGUGUUGGAUCCUUUCCGGGAUUCAGUGCCGCAGCUAACGCAUUAAGCACUCCGCCUGGGGAGUACGACCGCAAGGUUGAAACUCAAAGGAAUUGACGGGGGCCCGCACAAGCGGUGGAGCAUGUGGUUUAAUUCGAAGCAACGCGAAGAACCUUACCAGGUCUUGACAUCCCGAUGCUAUUUCUAGAGAUAGAAAGUUACUUCGGUACAUCGGUGACAGGUGGUGCAUGGUUGUCGUCAGCUCGUGUCGUGAGAUGUUGGGUUAAGUCCCGCAACGAGCGCAACCCCUAUUGUUAGUUGCCAUCAUUCAGUUGGGCACUCUAGCGAGACUGCCGGUAAUAAACCGGAGGAAGGUGGGGAUGACGUCAAAUCAUCAUGCCCCUUAUGACCUGGGCUACACACGUGCUACAAUGGUUGGUACAACGAGUUGCGAGUCGGUGACGGCAAGCUAAUCUCUUAAAGCCAAUCUCAGUUCGGAUUGUAGGCUGCAACUCGCCUACAUGAAGUCGGAAUCGCUAGUAAUCGCGGAUCAGCACGCCGCGGUGAAUACGUUCCCGGGCCUUGUACACACCGCCCGUCACACCACGAGAGUUUGUAACACCCGAAGUCGGUGAGGUAACCUUUGGAGCCAGCCGCCUAAGUGA
rnacentral:rRNA from 1 species